rnacentral:rRNA from 1 species
AUGAACGCUGGCGGCGUGCCUAAUACAUGCAAGUCGAGCGAACAGACGAGGAGCUUGCUCCUCUGACGUUAGCGGCGGACGGGUGAGUAACACGUGGAUAACCUACCUAUAAGACUGGGAUAACUUCGGGAAACCGGAGCUAAUACCGGAUAACAUGUUGAACCGCAUGGUUCAACAGUGAAAGACGGUCUUGCUGUCACUUAUAGAUGGAUCCGCGCCGCAUUAGCUAGUUGGUAAGGUAACGGCUUACCAAGGCAACGAUGCGUAGCCGACCUGAGAGGGUGAUCGGCCACACUGGAACUGAGACACGGUCCAGACUCCUACGGGAGGCAGCAGUAGGAAAUCUUCCGCAAUGGGCGAAAGCCUGACGGAGCAACGCCGCGUGAGUGAAGAAGGUCUUCGGAUCGUAAAGCUCUGUUAUUAGGGAAGAACAAAUGUGUAAGUAACUAUGCACGUCUUGACGGUACCUAAUCAGAAAGCCACGGCUAACUACGUG